CGAUGGCGGACGGCCGCCCCCAUGCGCCGCAAGGCGCGCGGGGGAGGAAAGUCCGGACACCGCAUGGCAACACGCCGCGUAGAACACGCGGGAGGCCGCGGGCCCAAGCCCCGGCCGACGGAAAGUGUCGCAGAAAACACACCGCCCAAGACGGCGCAAGCCGGACGGCAAGGUUGAAAUGGCGGGGUAAGAGCCCACCGCCCCGAGCGCAAGCGAGGGGGCACGAAAAACCCCGUGUGGUGCAAGACAGAACAGGGGACCACGGGCCGCCUGCCCGCCCCGGCGCGCAAGCGCAGGGAGUCCCCGGGUAUUGGUCGCAGCCCGCAAGGGCCGGCGGCGCCGAAAGGCGCCGGCGAGACAAAUGGCCGUCCAGGCCGCGGCGGAAGCCGCGCGCCGGACAGAAUCCGGCUUACAGCCAUCGACCC
rnacentral:RNase_P_RNA from 1 species